ACAGCCUGGCGGCGGCCCGCGGAGCCCAGGUACGCGGCCUGGCAGGACUGUGGCGGCCCAGAGCGGGACGGGGUGGAGGCGGGGCGGGGGGGGGGGCAUCUCGGCAGGCAGGUGGCCAUGGGGCGAGGGAGAGGGCCCCUGGAAAGCAGCCUAUGUUUGUUGACUGCGAUUCGCCUCUGAUCCUGGAGCUGGCAAGGGAGCCCCCGACGGGUAAGUUUGGAUUUUGCGCCCCUGUGUGUGGGUGCGCUGGGCAGGCUGGCAAUGCGAGGUGGCGGCACUCCUGCUCAGGGGCACCUGGCGAACUCAGCAGGCACAGGCGGUAAGGGUCCCAGACGAGUCCUGGCCGCUAGCUAUCAAGGGGGCAGGGGGGCGGUGGUGCUCCCCUUUGGUGAGACCGCUGGUGGUGAGGAGCUCCCCAGAAGAAGGUGUAAGAAGAGGAAGCCAGGGGUGGGAUGGAGGGCCCGCAAGAUCAAGAGAGGGAGGGAGCGAGCUGAGCAGGGAAGGAGCUCCAGCAGUCCUCCGGUCCCACAGAUGUGUGCCUGGCAGCCCCUGCGGGCCAGGCCCCUGCAGGCGUUGGCGAUAUGGCAGGGAAGAAAAUGGCAAAACUCGCCCCACGUGGGUCCAGGCCUAGUGGCAGGGCGCACACGACAGGACAGCAAACAUCUUAAAUGAAGGAUGAUAGAGUGUGUUCAUCGGUGGUAAGUGCCCUGGGGAAACUAGAGCAGAGGGAAGGAGGUGAGGGGUUGGGUCGCAAGUCUGAGCAGAUGAGGGUAUUUCAGAAAACCUCGAAGGAGAUGAGAGUGUGUACCGGGCAGAGGGAACAACCAGUGCAAAGGGCCUGAGGUAUGAGUGGACUGAUGUGUGGAAGGGAAUGCUCAGAGGGUGGUGUGGCAGGAGCAGAGGGAGCAAGCAGGUGGGAGGGGGGCAGGGCGAGGCCAGGAGGGGCCACAUGGGUCUACUCUGAGUCAGAUGGGCACCCCGGGGAGGGCCGUGAGCAGGCAAGGACAGAACCCCAUUAGGAGGUGGCCCUGUUUACCAUCAGUUCAGCCUCUGCCCCUCCCCCACCCCCCACCGCCCAGGACAGGGGAGACCCCAGUUGCAAGGCUGAUCCUUAGAUGAUCCUUAGAGGGCUUUGUUGGGUGGAGCAGCGUGGAAGGCCCUGGGGUGACCUGCGGCCUCCCUAGGCCCAGGGCCCUGGGGCCGACCCACCCAGAGGGCUGCAAGCGCUGCGGUCCCCAGGGAAGGCUGCCGGAGCCAGGAGGAGGCAGCCGGGGUCUCCAAGUGCCAGGCCUCAGAGGAAGUCCGCCAGGAAGGAAGAAGCCUGACUGCAAGAGGCCUGGAGCCACUCCUCCUCACAGAUGAAGAAGCCCCAGUUCCUGAUCCCGCCUGUAUGGGGUCGCCUCCUGCCUUUCCUGGGUUUACAGGAAGCGUGCAUACCAUUUUCUCCCUACGUGCUUCAAGAAGGAAGGACAUUUCCUCCCAUGACCCAGUGCCGUUAUCCAUCCAACCCAUGCCCAGCGCGGGCGCCUGCUGUCGUCUGAGAGCCGCUGCACAGUCACCCUCCAGGCCCCCACUGCCUUUGACUCCUCCUUCCUUCACACCAGCAUCUCAUCAAGGACUUCGUUACACUUGACCAUUGGCCGUCUGGUUAUCCUUUCAUCUGAAGCAGCCUCUCUCCCCAGCCUCGUCUUUUCCCCCUGACGCUGAGACACGCAGGAGACCGGGAACAGCCCACCUUCUGGAUUGGGCCGGUUGCUCCCUUGUAGCUAGUGUCUUGAAGUGGUCCCUCUGUCCCCAGCUGUUUACAGGUGGAAUGGUAUGUGUGUGUUGGGAGGUUUUCUGUAAGGACCCUGACCUGAGAGGAAAAGGGGUCAGCAGUGGAGCUUCCGGGGAUGGCUGGAAAGUCGGGGUGCAGGGGUCCUGCCCCCAUGGGAAGAAAGGAAUGAGAAAGAGGAAGCCAAGGCUCGCCGGAGGUGGGCAGGACUCCCUGUCUGGCGGCCCACCGCCCAGGUGAGGGGAGAGGGCGGCAGCUCGGUCUGGGAAAGUGUUAUGGGUUGGAUUGUGUCCCCCAAGAAAGAUGUGUUCGAGUCUUGCCCGCCAGCAGCUGUGACUGGGACCUAACCUGGAUGAGGUGGUGCUGGACUAGGGCGGGCCUCAUCUCGCACUUGGCUUUUGCCAAUCCCCUUAGCUUGUUUGUACCCCCGCGGUGGCAGCCGUUCUCUUGAAGGCCGGACCCAAGGUGAGCGGGGCUCCCUGACCGUCUCCAUCCGCCCCCUCAUCAUGCCCCAGCCUCACAAGUCUGGCAACCCCGAGUCUCCCCUUAGCUGCUGAGUUCUCUGAGUCCCCACCCCCACCCCCACCCCACGUUUGGUAGCCGCUCGCCCAUCCUGCGACCCAUGGGGGUGAAUUCCCCUGCGGCCCCAGGAAUUUCUCAUUUUAGGUGCCGGUAUCGUUUGAAGACGUGUCCAUGUACUUCAUCAAGACAGAAUGGAAGCUUCUGGACCUCAGUCAAAGGAUCCUCUACAAGAGAGUGUUGCUGGAGAACUACCGCCAUUUGGUGUCACUGGAUGCUGACGCUGGGCUGAGUUCAGGAGUGACUGAUCUGCUUCGUUUCCAUGGACAGGACUUUUAGCCUCCAAGCCUCACCUGGUCUCCUGGCUGGAGCAAGGGGACGGGCCCCAGGCAGCAGACAUCCACGGGACACGGGCUGCUGCGGGGGUGAGGACGGGUGACGGGAUAGAGAACAGGACGUCGACUUCAAAGCAGAAGCAUCGCCCCCAAGAGCUCCCGAGGACUGACCCUUGGGGCGGUAAUAAGAGCCAGGUGGCCCGGCCAACAGGGGAGACCGCUAAUCGCACAGGGAAACAUGCUCGUUCCCCACAGACAGGUUCUGGCAGGGGUGACCAGCCUGGGGAGAGAGGUCAAGGCGGCUCCUCCGACGAGGGAAGAGCGAUGAGCUAGAGAAGACAGGAUGGUGUGAGGCGGGAUUAGGGUCUCGGGCCGCGAGCUGCGCCGGGCGCCGACAAGCGGCACCUGUGUCCGCAGUGUGGGAAAUCCUUCAGUCGCGGCUCCAACCUCCUCAAGCACCGGCGCACCCACAGUGGCCACAAGCCCUACACGUGCGGCUAGUGUCUCAAGGCCUUCAAGGGCGCGUCCCAGUUCAUUCGCCGCCAGCGCGUCCACAGCGGGGAGAAGCCGUUCGCGUGCCAAGAGUGCGGGAAGGCGUUCCGGGGACGCUCUGGUGUCAGCCUGCACCGCCGGGCGCACGGCGGCGCGAGCGGCCCUACGCGCGCGGCGAGUGCGGGAAGGCCUUUGGAGGCGCUCCCCCCUCUUCAAGCGCCGGGCGACUCGCGGCGAGGGGCGGCCCUGUGGGCGUCCGCACUGCGGGAGGGUGUUCCGGAGCCGCUUGUCCCUCCCGGAGCACCGGCGCGCCCCGGGCGGCCAGCGCCGCCUAGCCUGUGAGGGGACGGUGUGGCGCGGCGGCCCCCACGACAGCCGCAGGGGUGGGAAGCCCUCGGAGAAGAGCGACGGGGGAAAGGCGCCGGCCUCUUUGGGUGCGAGGGCCAGAAAGUCCGGGGACACCGCGAACGCGCAGCCACUGGCAGUGCAGCCUGCUGGCCUGGGAGAGGGCCCGCUUUAAAGCCUGGGGCCUCCCGCUCCCCUCUGCCUUUGAUCGCUGAGGACGCGACUGAAGCACAGAGACCUCAGGACAGAUCCACGUUCUGUGCUGGAACUGCCCAGAUGCCCCUCCCCGACGCGGGUCAGCGCCGCGCUCCAGCAGGGCCCUGUUGUGGGCACAGCCGCCUCCGAUGAGGGACGAGCAGUCUCUCUCGUGUCGUGGGACCAUCCGCUUCGCCCCAAGACUUCUUGGUGUUUCCAGGUAAAAGCACUAAAAGCACUUUAAUCUUUUCAGAGCUCAUAAACGGGGGGGACGUGACGGAAUUCUACAACUAGACUGUGGCCGGCCCGUGACAUCACCUCAAAUGCAUCAAGAAACCGUCCGAAAACGGCCUUGGGCGAACACAUUCGUGGACAGCUCACGCCCAGGUGCCAGGCUGCGGGAAGCGGUGUCUCCUCUCUAAGCCCGCAGCUCCACGGGAAGAAACGGGACACGCUGCCAUCAUGCUGACUGGUGACCUGCUCUUUUUCCAGGCCCUCUGUCCCCGUGCCAGAGAGGCGCAGGCUUCUCCUUUGAGAAGCAGCCCCCUGGGCCCAUAUUCUCGGAGCCCUGGGGCGGGGCAGGGGAGUCGGGGGACACUCUGGUCCCUCGCAGGAGCGGGCUCCGGGCAAGACCCCGCACCAGCUGGCCUGCUGCUAUCCGUCUCCUCCUGCCCGGUCUCCCGGGCUCACCCUACUCACUGCCGUCUGCCUCCCACACCCCAGCAGCAGAGACCAGCCUGGCCUCUCUGCCCCUCCUCCCCACCCUCAGUGCCUAAAGCUUCAUACUUAGCUGCUCUUCCUCAAGCGGCCACCUCUUGUGGCUGGUGCCGAUCAGGAACAAAACGAGACGGGCUACGAAUUUGCACAGAGCAUGCCCAGUGAUGGCUCUCUCAUCGGACCUUUCGUAUGAUAUUUCUUACAAUGCUGCACGUUCACUUGCUUUCAGCAUUUUUGUAUUCAGGAGUAACGUAAGCUAGAGAUUUGGGCCAUAUAAGGAAGGGUGUUGGUGAAUCGCUCCUGAAAUAAGAAUCCCGCCAACCCUCUGAGAAGACCUCAGGCAGGAGAAAGAGACACCCGAUGGGUGUGGUGGUGAGCCUGGCCGCUCUUCUCCCUCCUCCCCCUGAGCCCCAUGGAAACAGGGUGGCCCCUUCCAAUGGCACUUUCCUGCAGCCUCCUGCUGGCCAGGGGGUGGCGGCUGCUGGCAGGCUCUGCCCUGUUCUGUCCGCACCGUCCCCAGAGCCAGGUUCAGGAGUUCGGCCCCUGGGUGCUCUCAGCCCAGCGUCCUGGUUGGCUUGCCUCCUCCUUCCAGCCCCCUCCACUGCCGGGACCUCUGGCGGGCAACUGGUAGGUAUGCUGGGCACCCCCUAUGGGCCUCCGAGGAUCGUGUGUGCCUUCCCUGCCACACAGUGAGAGGCUCAAAGCACCCUCAGGACAGUGUGGGGAAGAUCUGGAAAUACAGGAUUUCUUCCGAGCAUGCUUGUUGGAGCUCCAGUCAGUAGGAUGACUCCAGGAGCAAGAGAUACAGAUAGAUAGAUAGAAACACAUUGACAUAGAAGUUUUAUAUAGCUAUAUUAAAAUGAUUUUUAGACACGACUUACGGAAAGUUCUAGAGUUCUUGCAACUUGCUUUUAUCUCAGAGCCCUUUCACAGGGCCUGUGUCCCCUUGUCCUUCUGCUCUUUGUGUCACGUUCAUCUUUGUCGGCACUGCAGAAACAGGAAGUAUUAAGGCCACUGUCUCUGAAGUCCACGGACAGGGCAUGUGGAAGCGCGUGUUUUUAUGAGGCGCUAUCUUUGCCAGGGCUGGGGUGGAUUCAGGAAGCCAAUCCCCAGUGCAGAACAAGAGACAGUGGCAGGAGGCAUUGGGGCGACAGCUGCCACGCGGUGGUGGGAACUAGAAAGAGAUCAGAUCCCGGGGCUCUGAUGUCUGUUUCCAUCACCAUAGUAAGUGAGCCGUCUCAACUCUGCAGGCCAGUCAGUAACCGGCUUCACUAAAGAAGAGUCGUAGCCCCCCGUGGAAUGUCAUCCCAUGGGUUCUACUGGAUGAGCCACCUUGAUUUUGUGGUUUUCUUUCUAAUGUGCUCUGAAAUUGGGCUCCCACAGAACUGGAUGCAAAAGCUCACGCUACUGAAGGACAUCCUGCCGGCUUUCCAGUCCCUUCCCCAAGAACUUCCCUGGACAUCGGCCCCGUCGCGCUUCUCGACUGGUGUGCUUCAGGGAUGGCCCCGUAAGACACGGUGCCAGCGCACAGUGUGUCUGACGUUGAGACCACUCGCCCUGUGAAACUGUGCAGACUUUCCAAGAGCCAUUUAAAUGCCGUGGCAGUGCCUCCACGUAACUGGUGAAUUGCCCCGGCCGCAUUCAUUUACUUUGGGCGCGAGCAAAUGAGGGUCUAAGAGUGCUGGCCUUAAAGGAGCCCUCUCGUGGUGUCAAGUAACCAGAUGGCAGUUGGGCCAAAGGUCCCAGGAAAAACUCUAAGAGUGGAAUCGUGGGGGGAAGCCAAGACAGUACGUUGGCGUGAAGGGAAGGCAGAAACCCUGGAGGGCGAGACACAUGGGCAUCCAGAGCUGCCACUCCCGGCCGGUGGGACACCGUGACUCAGAUCAGGAAGGACAGAGUGGCGCAUCAGUUCCCCGAGAGACCCAGCUGUGUCUUCCUCCCAGUUGCUUCUUCAGGCAACAUGGCGGCACGCACACUCACUCAGGUGGGUGCCCCGUCCAGCCCCGUGCGGGCCUGUAUAGAAGGUGGCUCCACCUUCACCCUUCCGUGGUUUGCUUCGUGGCCUCCCGCUGUGGGGGGACUCCAGGGUGGACACCUGUCUGUACUAUAGGCCCUGCGACCUCUCCAUCUCUGUCUUCCCCCAGCCAUGUUUGAGGUCCUCGGCCCUUUCCUCUGUCCUUUAUCUCUGAUGGUCAUUGAGCCACCAGAUCCCAUCCGCCCUCGAUUAUGGUUGCCCCAGCUGUGCCUGCCUGCAUGCGGCCGUGUUUGAGUUGCAAGGGCGGUCCUGCAGUUGUCACCUGACUGACGGAAGCAUCCUUGUCUGGGGCUUUACGUAGGCCCGGGAACAUAGCUCUCUGCAAAACGGACCAUGUCUACAACCUUGCUCGGAUUGUAGCUCGCGAGACUAGCUCUGCUUUGCGAAGCUGGCAGGUGCUCCAAACAAAGAGAUAGGGAAAGCUGUGUUCCCUGUGACUGUGUGGCUGUAAUCCCAGACUUGCCCCCAAGGGACGGAAAAACAGGCCUGGAAAGGGGGCUCUCAGGAUUGUGUUGCCAUUGUCGCCAAACAUCCGUAGCUUCUACAUGUUUGCUUUGCUCUCGCUCCCGAGGUUGGUUCUGCUGGUGUUAUGGCAGCAGGGGCGCAGCGGGAUGCCUACGGCACGGCUGAUUCUCCGUGAACGUCUCAGGACGGGCCAGGACCUUCACUCCUUUCCUCAGCCGGAGUUGCACAGCAGGCUUUCAGGUGGGGAUGCUACAUGUAUGUCUUGUCAGGCGGCAGAGACAAGUGCGUCUUGAAGCCACGGCCAGAGCGAGCAGGAGGGGAGCUCUUGAAACGGGAAGGAGAGGUCGAGGGAUUUCAGGCAGGGUAGGGGGAAGAAGAGGGGGCACAUGGUGUGGUCAGGAACCCCCAAAGAGCAGAAGGACUUUGGUAGGACUGUUGGGGGGCAGAUGGUCAUGAGAAGCAGAGUGCAGAAAGCCUCGGAUGCCAGACGAAGAACUUUCAUCUCCACCUGCUUCCUGAUGAGGAGCGAUUUUUUUUUUAACAUGAAAGAAUUAUUCUAACAUUGAGGAGGGGACGUUAGUGUAUAUUAUAACCGCUAGAGCGCGUGACUUUCAAGGCUGGCCACCAAGUAUACACACGACAGUCAGCCAGAUGCUUCUGAUGUUCAUUAGGUGUUGACCUGGGAUGCUUUGACGUGAGCACCUCAAAUGACGUUCCCAGAAAUUGCCACUUGCUGUGGGCUCACUAGCUCAUCCCCUCUCAUGCUCCUACUGAUGUGUCUAUGACUUCACAACACAGGGACCCCCCCCCCCCAGGAUUUGCAGGUCGCCGAUUCAUCUUUUUUUGACCGCCUCAUGUAGAAGUAUCAUCCUGCGUGGGCGACAAGACCUGUUGAAUGCUUGCUAGUGGACAUUUGGGUUGUUUCCAGCCCGGGGCCAUGACAAAUAAAGCUGCUAUGAGCACUUGA